rnacentral:tRNA from 1 species
UGUGGCUGGAUCACCUCCUUUAAGGGAGACCCAACUUUGGAAAAGGGAGAGGCAAUCAAGACCCCCCAAAACCAGAGAAUCCCGAGGUCGGUCGAGGUUAGAGAAGGAAAAUCAGAAAAAGACUGUCAAACUCUUAGUGCGGUUCGCAGCGAGGGCUAUUAGCUCAGGUGGUUAGAGCGCACCCCUGAUAAGGGUGAGGUCCCUGGUUCGAGUCCAGGAUGGCCCACCUAGAACCGGAGGGGGUAUAGCUCAGUGGGUAGAGCGCUGCCUUUGCAAGGCAGAUGCCAGCGGUUCGAGUCCGCUUACCUCCACCAACCAUCGAGUUCAAAGAUUAAGCUAGCUCAAAGCGAAUUCAACACAGCACCCGUCAUCUAGAAGGCAACAAAGAGCCGGAGUAGAGAAACGGAAUGCUGGAUUGAAACCCAGCAAAGAACCUUGAAAAAAGCAUAGACACCAAGAGAAAAGCAUAGGGAAAAAAAUCCUAGAACAAGCCAAAAGUGGUCAAGCUACAAAGGGCUAACGGUGGAUACCUAGGCACACAGA